CUGUGAGCUCGAUGAGUAGGGCGGGACACGUGGUAUCCUGUCUGAAUAUGGGGGGACCAUCCUCCAAGGCUAAAUACUCCUGACUGACCGAUAGUGAACCAGUACCGUGAGGGAAAGGCGAAAAGAACCCCGGCGAGGGGAGUGAAAAAGAACCUGAAACCGUGUACGUACAAGCAGUGGGAGCACGCUUCGGCGUGUGACUGCGUACCUUUUGUAUAAUGGGUCAGCGACUUAUAUUCUGUAGCAAGGUUAACCGAAUAGGGGAGCCGAAGGGAAACCGAGUCUUAACUGGGCGUUAAGUUGCAGGGUAUAGACCCGAAACCCGGUGAUCUAGCCAUGGGCAGGUUGAAGGUUGGGUAACACUAACUGGAGGACCGAACCGACUAAUGUUGAAAAAUUAGCGGAUGACUUGUGGCUGGGGGUGAAAGGCCAAUCAAACCGGGAGAUAGCUGGUUCUCCCCGAAAGCUAUUUAGGUAGCGCCUCGUGAAUUCAUCUCCGGGGGUAGAGCACUGUUUCGGCAAGGGGGUCAUCCCGACUUACCAACCCGAUGCAAACUGCGAAUACCGGAGAAUGUUAUCACGGGAGACACACGGCGGGUGCUAACGUCCGUCGUGAAGAGGGAAACAACCCAGACCGCCAGCUAAGGUCCCAAAGUCAUGGUUAAGUGGGAAACGAUGUGGGAAGGCCCAGACAGCCAGGAUGUUGGCUUAGAAGCAGCCAUCAUUUAAAGAAAGCGUAAUAGCUCACUGGUCGAGUCGGCCUGCGCGGAAGAUGUAACGGGGCUAAACCAUGCACCGAAGCUGCGGCAGCGACACUAUGUGUUGUUGGGUAGGGGAGCGUUCUGUAAGCCUGUGAAGGUGUGCUGUGAGGCAUGCUGGAGGUAUCAGAAGUGCGAAUGCUGACAUAAGUAACGAUAAAGCGGGUGAAAAGCCCGCUCGCCGGAAGACCAAGGGUUCCUGUCCAACGUUAAUCGGGGCAGGGUGAGUCGACCCCUAAGG
rnacentral:rRNA from 1 species